rnacentral:pre_miRNA from 1 species
AGAGGGAUAGCUGGGUCAAAUGGUGGUUCCAUUCCAAGAUUUCCAAGGAAUUUCCAUACUGCUUUCAAUAUUGGCUGCACCAAUUUGCAGUCCUAUCAGCAAU